UUGAAUUCCCCUUCUCCCAAUUCUCUCUCAGACUCCUCUCAAACCCCAGCGGCCGCCUUCAACCACCACCUAAAAAUCUCUCAAAUCCAUGUCCUCCAAAGCCUUUAAAAGCAUGUAUCUUCCCUCUAUGACUCCUACAUGCUCGAUUAUCAUAAUUUCAAGGCCAGACCUUGAAAAAUCCCGGCACAGACUUUGGUUGAUUUAUGUUCUAUGGUUGUCUCCGAUCAUCUUUGACCUUGCUCUGGCCAAUCAUGGCUAUUCAAGCCUGAUCUUGACUUUUCAUACUUAGAUCAAUGAGUUUUCGAGCCUUUCUCACCAUUUGAGGUUCUUCUGAAACCCUAACCUUCGAGGUUCUUCCAUUUCUUUUAGAUCCGUUUUAGAUCUGUAUUUUCUCCAAACUUCAAAACAUUUUCUCGAGAUUUUUUUCAAAACUCUUUCUUCAAAACCCCUUUAUCUUUUCUGAUUUAGGGCUUUCUUAAAUUAUUUCGAAG
rnacentral:lncRNA from 1 species